rnacentral:rRNA from 1 species
UACGAAGGGGGGCUAGCGUUGUUCGGAAUUACUGGGCGUAAAGCGCACGUAGGCGGAUAUUUAAGUCAGGGGGUGAAAUCCCAGAGCUCAACUCUGGAACUGCCUUUGAUACUGGGUAUCUUGAGUAUGGAAGAGGUAAGUGGAAUUGCGAGUGUAGAGGUGAAAAUUCGUAGAUAUUCGCAGGAACACCAGUGGCGAAGGCGGCUUACUGGUCCAUUACUGACGCUGAGGUGCG